rnacentral:lncRNA from 1 species
UCGUAUAAGUGUGCUAAAAAAGCAUAUGUACACACUCGCACUAAAUGACAGAUGUCAAAAUCAAAUGAUGGAAGGAAAAUUGGUCAAUUUUACCAACAUAUUUGACAUUGGCUCUUUCCCUCUGCUCAUACAUCCAGCCAUUACACGAUCCAAUUUUCCUGCCAUCUAUGAGGGGAUCUCUAUCUUGUUUCUCCCUUCUUGACUUUUGAUAAUCAAGGGGAGGCACCACUGUCAAAGGAAAAACGUUUAUGAUUUGAAGCUCAUUGGAUUUGAACUGUAACAUUCCCCCACUAUUUUGGUCUCCAGCAAGGUGCAAAGAAAAUACAUAAGUGCAGAGAAAACUGAAAAAUCAAGGUAGGAAUAAAAGUGAAGAAAAUAAAAUAGUUUAUAUUUCAGUUGUUUGGCCUUUGGCACCUGUCGCUCGUAGUCUACUUUUUU